rnacentral:misc_RNA from 1 species
GAUGAAGAACGUAGCGAAAUGCGAUAAGUGAUGCGAAUUGCAGAAUUUCCGUGAGUCAUCGAAUCUUUGAACGCACAUUGCGCCCACUGGUAUUCCGGUGGGCAUGCCUGUUCGAGCGUCAUUAUCCUCCCUCAAACCUCGGGUUUGGUGUUGGACCCAAGUUGUGUGAACAACUGGUCUUAAAGACAAUGACGGCGUCCGUGGGACCCUCGGUGCAACGAGCUUUUAGGAGCACGCGUCGAGUUUCAAGGACCUUCCGGGCCGGUCUCCUUUACCAUUUUACAAGGUUGACCUCGGAUCAGGUAGGAAUACCCGCUGAACUUAAGCAUAUCAAUAAGCGGAGGA